rnacentral:rRNA from 3 species
GGCACGACUCUCGGCAAUGGAUAUCUCGGCUCUCGCAUCGAUGAAGAGCGCAGCGAAAUGCGAUACGUGGUGCGAAUUGCAGAAUCCCGUGAACCAUCGAGUCUUUGAACGCAAGUUGCGCCCGAGGCCAACCGGCCAAGGGCACGUCUGCCUGGGCGUCAAGC